AUCUACAGGGUCUUGCUGAUGGUUCUCAUCUUCUUAACUUCAAUAUGGACCAAACACCUCUGUGUAUCUGCUUUCUGGGUGCUCCCCAUCUUCGGAAAAUAGUUUUUUAUUUGAAAAUGAUUUUUCAUGGCAUUUUUUCUAGUGAAACUG
rnacentral:sRNA from 1 species